UGAGACAGACUACAGUUGGGCUUUGAUAAACAGCGUGCUUUUAUCUUUCAACAAGGAAGAUAUUUGUGAACUUUAACAACUAUGAAGCAGUUCUACCAUUUGUGCUGGUGAACAACAACCACUGGAAGUUGCUGUACAUCAAAACAAAAGCCAGCACAGUAUUCCUUAUGGAUCCUGCACAACUCUCAUCAGAGCUUGAGGACUCCAAAAAUGCAGCUAAAAGAAUACAAUGGCGAUAGCACUGAUGGAAGCCUUUCCAGUUAUGCCAGAUGUGGAAUUUGACACAAGCAAAAAAAGCAAUGAAAGAUG